ensembl:snRNA U2 U2 spliceosomal RNA
AUCGCUUCUCGGCUCUCUGUGAGCUAAGAUCAAGUGUAGUAUCUGGUCUUAUCAGUUUAAUUCUGUUUAAUGGACACUUGCACACCCCUGUCCUGACGAUGGAAUCUCCUGCAGCUAUAUCUGAAAAGAUUGAUGCUGCUCUAGAGACUUUUUCUUCUUCUGAGACUGCUUUGCAUACUGAUACAGCUGAUUUGCAUAUGCACUGUUCUGAUGCUACUUUGGAAGAAAAUUU